AACAAACGCUGGCGGCGUGCCUAAUACAUCCAAGUCGAACGGGGAAAGCUUUCGGGUGAGUACUAGUGGCGCACGGGUGAGGAACGCGUGGAUAAUCUGCCUUAGAGUGGGGGAUAACUAGUCGAAAGAUUAGCUAAUACCGCAUAAGACCACGAGAGCUGCGGCUUUUGAGGUCAAAGGUUUUUCGCUCUAAGAUGAGUCCGCGUAAGAUUAGCUAGUUGGUGAGGUAACGGCUCACCAAGGCGACGAUCUUUAACUGGUCUGAGAGGAUGAUCAGUCACACUGGAACUGAGACACGGUCCAGACUCCUACGGGAGGCAGCAGUAGGGAAUAUUGCACAAUGGAGGAAACUCUGAUGCAGCGACGCCGCGUGAGUGAUGAAGGCCUUCGGGUCGUAAAGCUCUGUCGCAGGGGAAUAACACAAUGAAGGUACCCUGUAAGAAAGGAUCGGCUAACUUCGUG
rnacentral:rRNA from 1 species